GAUGAACGCUAGCGGCAGGCCUAACACAUGCAAGUCGAGGGGCAGCAUAAAAUAAACUUGUUUAUUUGGUGGCGACCGGCGCACGGGUGCGUAACACGUAUGCAACCUACCUUACACAGGGGGAUAGCCCGGAGAAAUUCGGAUUAAUACCCCAUAGCACUAUCGGAUGGCAUCAUUUGAUAUUUAAAGCUUUGGCGGUGUAAGAUGGGCAUGCGUCCUAUUAGCUAGUUGGUGAGGUAACGGCUCACCAAGGCUACGAUAGGUAGGGGGCCUGAGAGGGUGGUCCACCACACUGGUACUGAGACACGGACCAGACUCCUACGGGAGGCAGCAGUGAGGAAUAUUGGUCAAUGGGCGCAAGCCUGAACCAGCCAUGCCGCGUGAAGGAUGAAGGUUCUAUGGAUUGUAAACUUCUUUUAUUUGGGAAUAAACCCCUUUACGUGUAGAGGGCUGAAGGUACCAAAUGAAUAAGCACCGGCUAACUCCGUGCCAGCCGCCGCGGUAAAAC
rnacentral:rRNA from 1 species